rnacentral:rRNA from 1 species
GAUGAACGCUGGCGGCGUGCUUAACACAUGCAAGUCGAACGAUGAAGCCGGAGCUUGCUCUGGUGAAUUAGUGGCGAACGGGUGAGUAACACGUGAGUAACCUGCCCUUGACUCUGGGAUAACUGCGGGAAACUGUAGCUAAUACCGGAUACGACCCUCGGAGGCAUCUCCUGGGGGUGGAAAGAAUUUCGGUCAAGGAUGGACUCGCGGCCUAUCAGCUAGUUGGUGAGGUAAAGGCUCACCAAGGCGACGACGGGUAGCCGGCCUGAGAGGGUGACCGGCCACACUGGGACUGAGACACGGCCCAGACUCCUACGGGAGGCAGCAGUGGGGAAUAUUGCACAAUGGGCGCAAGCCUGAUGCAGCAACGCCGCGUGAGGGAUGACGGCCUUCGGGUUGUAAACCUCUUUUAGCAGGGAAGAAGCGAAAGUGACGGUACCUGCAGAAAAAGCACCGGCUAACUACGUGCCAGCCGCCGCAGUAA